UGGUUCCAGAGAGUUACUCCCAUAAUCUUUGUGUCGGAAAUUGACCAUCACCCCUCCUAAAGAGGUUGUCUGAUGGACUGCAUCAUUCAGAAAGGAACAAGGCUGGUCAUUAAUGGAAGGGGAGAGAGGGCGAUGCCUCACCACUAUCCUCAGGAUAUACACCAAAUAUUGAGAAGAAAGAACAUCAGGAGCUAAAUGUUCUAUUUAAAGCAGUAGUUGCUGCUCAGAAAAUACACAACAGAAAAUGCAGACCCAAAGUCAGUGUUUUAUAUUUUCUUCAUGCAAGAGCAAUGCACUGAAGGAGAGAAGUGUAAGUUUUAUCUUAU
rnacentral:lncRNA from 1 species